UACCCUUGACAUGCCUGGAAUCCUGCAGAGAUGUGGGAGUGCUCGAAAGAGAACCAGGACACAGGUGCUGCAUGGCCGUCGUCAGCUCGUGUCGUGAGAUGUUGGGUUAAGUCCCGCAACGAGCGCAACCCUUGUCAUUAGUUGCUACGAAAGGGCACUCUAAUGAGACUGCCGGUGACAAACCGGAGGAAGGUGGGGAUGACGUCAGGUCCUCAUGGCCCUUAUGGGUA
rnacentral:rRNA from 1 species